GUCUUCGUGGCUCAGUUGGUUAGAGCGUUGGUCUCAUAUUACUAUAUGAGGUGGUUGAUAACAACUACUUUAGCCAUCCAAAGGUCGUGAGUUCGAGUCUCACCGAGGACA
rnacentral:tRNA from 1 species